rnacentral:rRNA from 1 species
UACGUAGGGUGCAAGCGUUAAUCGGAAUUACUGGGCGUAAAGCGUGCGCAGGCGGUUGUGCAAAGACCAGGUGUGAAAUCCCCGGGCUUAACCUGGGAACUGCACUUGUGACUGCGACGGCUGGAGUACGGCAGAGGGGGAUGGAAUUCCGCGUGCAGCAGGUGAAAUGCGUAGAGAUCGGGAGGAACACCUGUGGCGAAGGCGGCCAGCUGGGCCGACCCUGACG